AACGAACGCUGGCGGCAUGCCUAACACAUGCAAGUCGAACGAAGCCUUCGGGCUUAGUGGCGCACGGGUGCGUAACGCGUGGGAAUCUGCCCCUUGCUUCGGAAUAACAGUUAGAAAUGACUGCUAAUACCGGAUGAAGUCUUCGGACCAAAGAUUUAUCGGCAAGGGAUGAGCCCGCGUAGGAUUAGGUAGUUGGUGGGGUAAAGGCCUACCAAGCCGACGAUCCUUAGCUGGUCUGAGAGGAUGAUCAGCCACACUGGGACUGAGACACGGCCCAGACUCCUACGGGAGGCAGCAGUGGGGAAUAUUGGACAAUGGACGCAAGUCUGAUCCAGCAAUGCCGCGUGAGUGAUGAAAGCCUUAGGGUUGUAAAGCUCUUUUACCAGGGAUGAUAAUGACAGUACCUGGAGAAUAAGCUCCGGCUAACUCCGUG
rnacentral:rRNA from 1 species